CGUGGGUAACCUGCCCAAGAGAUCGGGAUAACACCUGGAAACAGAUGCUAAUACCGGAUAACAACAGAUGAUGCCUAUCAACUGUUUAAAAGAUGGUUCUGCUAUCACUCUUGGAUGGACCUGCGGUGCAUUAGCUAGUUGGUAGGGUAACGGCCUACCAAGGCGAUGAUGCAUAGCCGAGUUGAGAGACUGAUCGGCCACAUUGGGACUGAGAAACGGCCCAAACUCCUACGGGAGGCAGCAGGC
rnacentral:rRNA from 1 species